rnacentral:lncRNA from 1 species
UAACUGUCAAGUACAAAUAUGUUCCGGCAUUCACGUCGUGAUCGUAUUUCUACAGUGAGAUUCUCGCUCUUUUUAUUAUGAAACCAUAACUGUAUUAUCUUGAGGUUGGCCAUACUUGGUUUCGGUGUUCAUCGUGCACAUUGAUCUUCGAGUCUUGUGCUCCACCAUCGGACUCAGUCUAUCUCGAACUUGUUCUCGUAGCGACCCAUCUUACCUACGAAAUUGGGCAUAUCUAAUUUCGACCAUGUACAGUUUGGUCACUCAAUUUGAAUUUAUA